GGCUCCGGGGUGUCAACACGUCGGAUUGCAAAUCCGAAGAAGCAGACUAACGUCUGCCGGGGCUU
rnacentral:tRNA from 1 species